GUCCAGCCGAUGAGUCCCAAAUAGGGUGAAACGCGCGUUCUGAAU
rnacentral:hammerhead_ribozyme from 1 species